rnacentral:sRNA from 1 species
UUAAAACGUACAGUUAAGUUCUUAUUGAUUAUAGUUACCCUAUUGUGCUAUCAAAUAGUAGGUCUUUUUUUUUCACCCAUUGGAAGGAGGCUUUUCCAUCUCACAUUGUACUAGUCCUCUGAUUAGUAGUAUUUCUAAAAUAAUCCCACCUUAUUCUGGUUAUUACUUUUUCAAUGCUUUUGAUAAGUAACAAAUAUUUGAAUGCCUGUUAUAUACAAAUUGCUAUGCCACAGGAACUAUAGACACAUCCUCUCCCUUCAAGAGUUCUCACAGUCAGGAAAAUGAAACACAAGCAAUUUAAAAGUAAAGUACAAGAGGCCAAAUAACAAUUCAAUACAGUGACAUCCAAAGGUAAAAAAUUAUUGGUUACCAAAUCAGUAGAAGAGAGAAGUCAUAUGGAACAGAGUCUUCUAAAUGAUCUUUACCUGAAUCCAAACACAUUUGUUUCCUUUUUCAGAUUCAACUUAUCAGUAUAUAAAAGGUUCUGCUGACAUUAAAUCCAACCAGGGAAUCUUCCCCUGUGGACUUCAGUGUGUCACCAUUUUAAUUGGUGUCUAUGACAUACAGACAGGGGUUCCCCUGAUGGAGUCAUCAAUCAACCUUUUGUGUCACGAGAUCCAAACACCCUCAG